ACCGACCAUGACUGGUUCUAGCGGGUUUACAGAGAUUGCAUACUUGAGUGCCUUCAUGUCCUGAAUAGACCUUUUGAUGUAUAGGGCCUGAUUGCAAUAUUUAAAUAUUAAGUCUCCACCCCAAGGUGAACAUGUGUCAUAUGUAAGAUGCAUGUUUAAUAUGCAUGCAUCAGGACCACUUUCAUUAAUAUUCAUAGCUCCUCCUGUAACCUGUUGAAUAUGUGUUAAGCCAACCCAUUCAGCAUAAAAGCAUAAAACUCCUACCCCAACCCCUCCUCCUUGGAGGUGCCUGUCUCUGGGCUUCUGCUGGAGGAGGCUGUGCUUCCUGGCCUGCAGGAUGGCCACCUGGCAGGCUGUCACCCUUAAGAAAUAGUGUCUCCAUUUUUCUAAAUUUGUAUCUUAUGAUUUUUUUUUUAAAGUUAACGUAUCUGGCAAAGAUGGGAUUCUGAAGCAGCCCCUGAAUUCCUUUUCCUGUGUCACCCAGGACACCAGGUACAGCCAAGGUCCCUUUGAAAAAGUCCAGUUGUUCCUGACUAUGCUGGGAAAGGAUCUGGGUAAGUGCUAUCAAAAUCCAAGAUCUCCCACUUUUAGGUUGCAGACUUGAUUUCUUCUUUUAGGCCUCCUCCAUCUGUGGAACUCCGGAGGAGACCCUCCUGCUGGCCUUGGGUUUGGGAGGGCAUUCCUAGUUCUUCUCAGUCCUUUCUGUUCUCCUCCCUGGACCCCGGAGGGAACAUCUCUCCUAGCCUUGGGUUUGGAGGAGGCCUUCCUGAUUCCCUCCAUCCAAGGGCCCUGGAGAAAAUGCAUUUGUGGGCUCCGGGCUUAUGGAGAGGCAUUCAGGUUGGAUUCAACUGGUUCAUAAGGUUUGUGGGGAUGCUCACACUAAGGGCACUGGAAGAGAUAUCUUCAUAAAGUCAGUGCAAUAGGUAACUUACCCACUAGGGGCAGGAACUCCUGUAGAAGUUCAAAGGCAUGCCAGGUUUUCCAGCACUUCAGCUAGCUGCAUAUUGUGGCCUGUUCUUGUGCACAUUUUAAAACUGAACGGGCAAAUUACAGCAAGGAAAAUUCAGAGCUCAAAUGCCCAACCUGCAACUAUACAAUUAAAAUGUAGAGUUUUCUAAAGCUAUCUCUUUUUUGUUUUCGGCCUGCUUUGAAUUUGCUGUUAUUAAGCUACUGCUGUUAAGAUAAAACUCAUUGUUUAUGAUACUACUAAUUCAAGGCUACUUGGAGCUUUCUUUACAGUUCAGCCAAUUGUAGCUAAAAUGUAAACACUGAAAACUCAUUUGAAACUUCAGGAAAAAAAAAAGGGGUAAAAGGUUUUUAAAAAUAAAACUGCCAUGAAAACUACUUUUCCCAAGACUUUGGUCCAUAGCCUUCAUUGGAUUACCUACUGGGACAAAUAAAGUUUAGCCAUGUGAACAGGUCCCAAUUUUGUCAGAAAUAAUUUGGAUCCAGCUGUCUUUUGUUAAGUGGUGAGUCUGUAUUACCAUCUCAUGGCUAAGGUUCCAGAGUAAAAGCUGUAAGAUCUUUGUGUGUAUGUGUUUAAAUGUUUGUAUAUGAACAUGUAUUAUGUUGUGUUGUAUCUAGCAUGGUACCAAACUGGUUUAUAAGUAAAUUAUACUCAUAAAUUAAGUAAGUCCAAAUACUUUUCAGAUUCAUGUGAACUUAGUAAUCUGGUAAAUAAAAUGGUUUUAAAAUUAUUGGUAAAAUAAAACUAGAAAUGUCUUCAGAAUUGUCAGCAUACAUUUUUUUUUUAGUCUGGGUUUACUGAUUAUUUUAUAUUUGCCUCCGCUAGGUGUUUUAAGGGUUAAUGAGUGCCUGUUCACCUCCAUCCUCAUCUGGCCUAGAAUGUUUAAUUGGCUCCAAGUCCCUUGGCCAUAAGGAUCCCACCAAAGAACAGAAUGAACCUGCAGCAGGUAGCCACACCACCCCGGCAAAGAUAUGGGAAAAAAUAAAUGUUUGGUCACCAAUGUCAUCUCUGGCACAUCUUGGCUAAAAGGGGAGAAUGUAAACUCAGCCUCCCAAAGUGCUGGGAUUACAGACAUGAGCUACCAUGCUUGGCCAGAAACACGUUUCUAAAAAUUGUGACGUGAUUCUCAUCUUUAAAGUGCUGAUAGAGAACAGACAAUUCAAUAUUUCUUGCCUCCUAGGUUUUCACUAAAAUUUAAGGUUACUAAGAGUAAGAAUUUUAGUUAAUAUAGAAUUCUAUAUAUAAAAUGUGCCAAAUAAAUGUGUUCUUAUGGAGAAAAAGAAUAAUUUUAUUUAAUUUGGAUGUUAUUUAAAGGUUAGUUAUGAAAGAAGGUAGAAAACCAGUAAGUAGGAGAGAUGUGAAAAAAGUUAGCUAUGAAGAUGUAUUUUUGGUAAGGAAGGUUCAAAAGAGAAUAAUUUCAUAUAUGAAAGUAUCUUGCAGGGUAAAUUUCUGUCCUAAAGUAAAAUGACUGGUUAUUAAGGAAAGGGGAAAUUUAGUACAAAUCAGAAAGUACAAGCAUGUUAUAGAUGGUCUAAGUUGUGAUAAGGUUUGUGAGAGAAUACUUAUGAAAAGCAUUUUGUGUGGGAUUAAGUUGGCUAUAAUUAAAAUUAUUUAUAAAAGUCUUUCUAAAUUUUGGUCCCUUGUUUUAAAAGAAAGUUGUCUUAAAAUAUGAUUUACUCUUAAUACAAUUAAAAGAGGUUUUGAUUUUUAAUUCUAAACCUGUUUCUUGUUGAAAACUUCUCAGAUUAGUAUCUUGGAAGUUCCACUUUUGCUGCGUCUUGCUACUUUGUUUUUCUCCCCCUUUGAGAAGGCCUGAGAUGAUAACUUUUCCCUUCAACUGUUUUGCCAGCUCCUGUAACUUUUUCCCUCUGGUUCUAACUGCCACUGUGGCCUGAUGCUAAAAUGUUUUAUCUUGAAGGUCUCGAAGAGCAAUGUUUUCCUACAGUAUACCUUGAUUCUGUACUCUUGGCUUUUCCUGAUAUCCGAAUUGUUCCAUAUAACCAGAAAACUUCCCAUGCUGUUAUUAAGAGUCAUGUAUUCCCCGGCUCAAGGUACAGUUUUCUAGUUUCCUGUUUCCUCCAUAACAUAAAGUUCAUUCAUGACCCCAGACACACUCUUCUUGUGUCUGAUUAAUUCAAGUAAACUUUUUACAGUUUGAUUUCCAAGUUAUCUAAAUGGGCUUCUCAUAGGAGAAGCAACCACACUGUAGGUUUUUCUUUGCCUUUUUGGUAACUGGCCUAAGAACCAAAGAUUUUACAUUUUAUCAAGAUAAUUCCCAUGUUUUCUUUAUUAGAUUUUUUAUUACUUAGGAAAACUAAGCUUUAAAAGGGUUAAGGUUUUUACAUCCAUGUGACUUUCCAUAUUGCAUUUAAAGUCUUUUGAUUAUUACUCUUGGUUUAAUGAAUAACUAUUACAAUGACCUGUAAUUCCAUUUUGAUUAAAAGCUUUGAGCCUUUGAACAUCUUUGACAAAUGUCCUCAAAAUCAAAUAAACAUUGCUAAUUCUUCAUGUUUUGCUUUUCAGAGUCAAUAAAACCUUUUUUCUUUUAAACUAUUUACAGCUUACAGAAAUUGGGUAAAACAUUGAAGAUUACCUUUCUCUCUACCUAGUAUCUCUAGAAUUUGAAAACUAUUCAAUCCCCCUAGGCCAAUCUGCUUUCCAUUGCCAAGGCACUACUGCUAAAGCAAUACAGUAUCAAGCACCCUCCCAGUAGGCCCAUGGACUAUCACAGAAGGGGUGGGCACAUGAGAUUGUAAGGGCCAGUUUCAACAGAUAAAAUUAGUUCAGACCCUCCAAAUUAAAGAUGGGCAUACAGAUUACCAAACAGCUCAUGGCUCAACACACAGAACUCAUAGACAAGUCACUUUUGUAACACUGCUUUUUGGUUAUGUUGCUCAAAAGGUUUUUAAGGGUUAAUGCGUGCCUGUGAACCUCCAUCUUCAUCUGGCCUCCAAUGUUUAAUUAGUUUUAAGUCUUUUGGUUCCAAGUCCCUUGGCCACAGGGAUCCCACCAAAGAACAAAAUGAGCCUGGGGCAGGUAACGACACCACCCUGGCAGUGACAUGAGACAAAAUAAAUGUUUGGUCAUCAGUGUUGCCUCUGGCACAUCUUGGCUAAAAGGGGAGAAUGUAAACUAAAAAUAAAAUCCUAAGACUCCUCCCCUACAGAUUGAAUGGACCCCCUCUUGGCCAAGGGGACCCCAGAAAAUUCUUAAAAACGGAGUUCCCAGCCAUGACAGGACAGCAGGUUAGACACGACUUGUUAUACUCCCCUCCCUUUUCUGGUUUACAGACAAUUGACCCGCAUUAAAGUUAAAAUAGAGAUCCUAAGAUUGACAGAACAGAUUCUUUGUGGCAGCAACAUAACAAAUUACCAUGCCAGGCAAGGGUUAAGUUAUGCACCCCUACGCUUAAAGAAUAAACUAGGUUCUAACUGCAACAAGGAUUCUCUUUCUCUCUAGCAGCUAAACAAGCAGUGGCCUCACCAUAAACACUAAUAAAACACUUGCAGCCCUACCAGAUGCUGACUAACUGAACUCUACCAGCCAUAACUAUAGCUUUGACUGGACAAGAGAGUGAUUUCAGUAACUUUCUCCUGUUAAGAAGCCCACCGACCAUGGACUGGUUCUAGUGGGUUUACAGAGAUUGCGUACUUGAGUGCCUUCCUGUCCUGAAAAACCUUUUGAUGUACUGGGCCUGAUUGUAAUAUUUAAAUGUCGAGUCUUCUCUGUGAGAUGAACAUGGGUCAUAUGUAACAUACUUGUUUAAUAUGCAUUCAUCAGGACCACCUUUAUGAACAUUCACAGCUCUUCCUGUAACCUACUGAAUAUGCAUAUUUAGAUAACUUUUUCAGCAUAAAGCUCCAAGCCAACCCCUCCUCCUUUGAAGUGCCUGUCUCUGGGCUUCUGCUAGAGGAGGCUGUGCUUCCCAGCUUGCAAGAUAACCUGACAGGCUAUAACUCUUAAGAAGUAAUAGUUUCCUCUCUCCUUUUCCAAACUUACAGAUUUGUGAUUUUAAAAAGUUAACAUGACUUACUCCAUUGGGAGUGUUACUUAAAUGAACUGAUUUUAAAUCUCAAACAUACCAAUUACCAUACAUAUGGUAAAACUGAAGUCUGUGAGGGUAAAGCAAUUUCUCUGAGUUUCCACAGUAAGUGAAGGCUCUUCAAAGUGCCAUGCUGUUCAUCAACUUCGGAUGCUCUGCAAGUGGAGAUCUCUCCCUCAGGCAGUGGCAGGAAGAGACUCUGCCCAUCUCACUUCUGCCCACUUGAUACAAUGCUUUGGGAUUAUUUCUCCCCUCUUUCCACAGAAGAACAUCAGGAGUGGAUUGUUAUGUUUCUAUAUUACUUUGCAUGGGUCUCAUUCCUCAGCUUUUUCUGGUACAAGGUAGACUCUAAUCUUGAGGUGAGCACAUUCUAUUCUAUUCAUCUCCUCUAGGACACAAGCCACAGGAAUUCAGUGUUGACAAAGAUAGUUCUUGGUGUUGCUAAAGCUGCAGAAAUGACAGGAAGGACUCAGGAGAGAUUCUGCUUUUUUUUUUUUCCCCCAGCUCCUAUCAGACAUUCCCAGGUGGGGCUGGGGUAUUAUACCAUCUGGCUUCAGAAAUGCUCUAAGACUCCCUUUUACCCCUACCAUCUGCCAACUUCUGUCAACACAAACUGCUAAGAAAGGGAACCUAUUUUUCAGCCUAGUAUUCUUACUAUGGCAGAGAUAGAGAAAAGUCAUGCACAUAUUACAUAAGAUUGUCAAGAUCUGCCAGGGAUUCACCCUCUGCCUCUGAGCAAGACUGUUUCUAACACGAAUAGGAAGACUACCAGAGAAGGGAGAGAGAAAUCUGUUUCCUGUUUUCAAAAUCUCCAGAGGAGAUCCCUCAGCCAAGGAGAAGAGUCUUAACCCUAGUAACACACACAGCAUCCUUGAAACAAACAACAAAAGCGAUGUGGCCACAAGGAUAUGUGUGUAAUUCUUUGAUGGUGUGUUUGAUCUCGCCCCAGUUUGGCCUCACUUAAACUCAAAUCCAACAGCUUGGAAUGCAAUUUUAAAAUUCUGAGCAAUGACAAAUGUCUCACACAUGCUACCUUUUGUGCUUUCCUGGCCAAGCUGUUAUCUGCAGUUAUUUUCAAGAACAGAGUUCAUUUUUGUUCUUAUUUCUGAAUGGGGAAUUAUAUAAGGCUUGAUUUUGGCCACAGUGGAGGCAUGGAAGUUCAACCUAAGGAGGAGCAGAGUUUGCUAUCGCCUACAUUUGAUUGAUUUCAGGUUUAAACAGCAAGGCAUGAAGAUAAUCCAGAGAUGACCAGACUCUCUCUGGACAGCCUGUUUUCACCCUUGCCCUCCUUGAAACAGGUCACAUUCACAGCACUUACAUGCAUCCCCUAAAAAUACCAACUCCAAGCACAUUAGUGAAAUGGAUGUUGCACUGAAUACUCAGUGGGGAGAUGAAAAUUCACUCAACCCCACAGGAUAACUUAAGACUAGGAUGCCUAUGGACACUUGUGCUUCCCCAAGCCCCUAAAGCUGCCCUCCCCUGCAGCUGUCCAUCGCUGUUGUCUUUACCCACCUCCAUCUCUAAAACUCUCCCCUUAUUUAAAGAUAAUCUUUAUCAACACCAAAGCCAGUAACCAGCCAGAACACCUCCCCUACCACCAAGUUUCCCCAGGGUGCCAUCUUCCUUCUGCUUUCCUCUCCUAUCUCAGUGCCACUGCAAUCCCUGAAGUAGUUCAUCAACGUAUUUAUCCAACAAACUAGAUCUGUUCCUAAGGGGAAUUCUGCUGCAAAAUAAAUUUUAGUUUUCAUCCUAUUUUACCAAGCCAUUAAUAUAUGCUGUUAGCAGUAUGUGCUCAUUAAUCUUAACAAUAACCCUGUAAGCUGUUAUAAUUCCCAGCAUACUGAAAAGGUAACAGGGAGGGGCGUAGAGAAAUUCAGAGACUUACCCAUGCUAAGACUCCCGUUCCAGGUCUGCCAGGGUCCUUACCCACACAAGCUGCAGUGCAAAGGUGGGUGGCCCUGGGCAAUGUAAAAUGGGAGGAUGUGGAUAGGGCUUGGGUCUGGAGCUGCUUUCUCAACACUCCAAGCAGUACCCGUUCGCAUAUUCAAGCAGCUCCUGUGAGUUCCCUUUGGCUGAGAAGUUUCUGUCCUCUCCUGGGCCACCCUGCCCACAGAUAAAAUGCAAGUGAUUUAUUUUGUUGCUUACAAAGGUUAAGGGACUUGUGAAGGCCACAUAACUGUUAAAUGCUAUUGACACCUGGACUUAAUAAACCUAAUAGUAUCUAACAUCCAGGUGGCUAUUUGAAGCAUUAUGCCAUUAUGCCUCUUGAAAGGAAGUCUAGUCCUGGGUUAUGUUUAAAGGAGCAUUUCUUUCCUUUCCAAAAUGACUGCAGAAAGCCAACUAUCUAAGCAGGGAUUAGCAAUUCUACUUCUGAUCAGGGGAACUGACCUAUAUGGGGUAAAAGUGUGGGAUGGGGGAAGUCCCAUUUCCCCAUCACCCUCCUAAUAUUCCCCUGCCUGCUAUAGGGAGGACUUAGAAAAAUGGCUGGAGACUGAGCUAUAUUUAUUAGGGGUCAUUAAAACCCCUAAAAGGUUGUUUAAACAUCAUAUGCAUUUCCACUUCCUGCUCCAUGCUGUCAACCAGGCACAAGUACCAGGGCCUACUUUUUUUUUUUUUUGAGAUGGAGUCUUGCUCUCUCGCCCAGGCUGGAGUGCAGUGGUGUGAUAUCGGCUCACCGCAACCUCUGCCUCCCAGGGUCAAGUGAUUCUCCUGCCUCAGGUUCCUGAGUAGCGGGUAUUACAGGCGCCCACCACCACACCCGGCUAAUUUUUUGUAUUUUUAGUAGAGAUGGGGUUUCGCCAUGUUGGCCAGGCUGUUCUGAACUCCUGACCUCUAGUGAUCCGCCUGCCUCUGCCUCCCAAAGUGCUGGGAUUACAGGCGUAAGCCACUGCGCCCAAGGGCCUACUCUUUCCAAGCAGGCCCAAUGAGACGUUCUUCCCUGUCUCAGGCUUGGAAGCCAGAUGGUGGUAAGAUCUGGAUGUAGGAGGCAGAGGACAAACCUAAGCCAUGAGCCACAACCUAGCUGUUCCAAAGAUCUCUGAAAUAAGCUAAUACAAAGCAGUAUGUUGAUUUCCAUUUUGCUGUCUGCUCCUUGUGCAUUUAGCUCCAGGAGGGAGUUAAUAGGAGAGGGGUGAGUGGCAAGGCAGGAUAUGGUCAUUCCUUGGGCCCUGGUUGUGAUACUAACUUAAUAUAAUCAAAACCUAGGGUGACCAUAUAUCUAUAAUCCAUACCAGGACAAUUCUGAGAACAAAAAAGAGCACUAUUAAUUAUGCUAAGACAACAAUCCAUCCUCCAUAGCUGGAAUGCAUGGUCACCCUGUUAAAAAGUAAGAAAACCUACCCUGGGUCCUACCCUUACCUUUGAUCACAUGGAGACUUUAAUUUUUAUGUAUAACUAGAUGAGAAAACCUAAGUCCAAUAACAAUAGAUCAUUACAAAGAAAACAGCACUGGAAUACUCAAGGUCUUAGAAGAAAUAAGGUUAAAAUAAAAAAACAGCAGCAGACCUAUUUAAAAGUUGUUUUGUGGCUGGGCGCAGUGGCUCAUGCCUGUAAUCCAAGCACUUGGGGAGGCCGAGGUGGGGAGAUCAUUUAAGGCCAGGAGUUCGAGUCCAGCCUGGCCAACAUGGAGAAACCCCGUCUCUACUAAAAACACAAAAAUAAGCCAGGGGUAGCGGUGCAUGCCUGUAAUCCUAGGUAUUCGGGAGGCUGAGGCAGGAGAAUCACUUGAACCUGGUCAGUGGAAGUUGCGGUGAGCCAAGAUUGAGCCACUGUACUCCAGCCUCGGUGACAGAGUGAAACUCUGUCUCAAAAAAAAAAAAAGGUUAUGUUCUGCCCAGGCCCUCUAUUUGAAGUUUUCAUGAAACCAUCUCAUUUGUGGAAAGCAUUUUAGUUUAGAGUACUUCUACGGGCAUGCUCUAAGCCUGUGAGGCAGGUCACAGGUUUAGCACCAUGACAGAAGCUGUGCAGCAAGCAGCAGAGGCAAGACUCAAGUCCAGUAUCUGGGUUAGCCCAGUGUUUCCUCCCGUACCCAUGCUGUGACCCCUCAUGGCCUCUGCUCUGCAUGGGCCACAAGCUUGUGUCCUGAACUUAGAAUAUCUGGGGGAAGGCAGAGGACAACAUGAAAUGACGCCCAUGGGAGACAGGGAACCAAAAGGAACAUCUGUUGCCUGAAUCAAAAUUAACUGCAAAGCCAGUCAUUAGCACUGCACAUCAUCAAAACAGGAGAGAUCUGUGUCCAUUUAUUUUCAAAGCCAUCCUGGACUUGGCGGGAAAAAAAAAUGCUGCCUAAUCCCAACACGAUUUUUCAAAUAGUUUUCCAAGAUUCUAAAUCUUAUAUGUAAAUUAACUGGCAAAGGAUUAAAACCCAACAUUUAAAAUAGUGGUACUUAAUGAGGGGCAGCACAUACCUUCAAGGGGGCAUUUGGAAAUGCGUAUGGUCAUUUGAGUUGUGACUUGGGUGGGGGGGUCACAAAGAGGAUGACUCCUCUUCAAGUCAAUAAAUUUCAGUGACAUAGAAGAAAAAGGUGACCGGGUCCAUAGUCAGUGACUUGCAAUCACAGACAAGCCUAUCAUUUGUGGGAUUACUGGGCUUCUGAGAAGCAGCCCAUGGUGGAUUGACGACAAUACAGCACUUGCUGUCCUCCAGGGCUACACUCAGCAGAACACCUGGGAGUUCUGUAGAUCUGCCAAUCUCAUUUCACGGAAAUGGGACUGUGAUGUGUUCAUGCAAAACACGCUGUCCCUACUCAAAACAGUACGCUCUGAUGAAGUCUACAUAGCACAUAUACUUCACCUGUAUGAAAUGGAUUUGGAAAUUACAUGACUCAUUUAGUUCUUCCUCUCCUUAGCCUGUGAAACUAAUUUCUUCCUUGAGGUAUUGAGAUUUAGGUAAAACAGGGUUAGAGAAGCACAAAUAAUCCUGCUGCAUUCAAACUAAGUCAAAAAGUAUCAGAAGAUCUAAAGGACUAACUUGAUUUAAACUUUUCCUGGCAUGACAAAAAGACUGACGUUUCCCAAAAGAAAUUCCCCAAACUGCCAAAGACAGGGGCUGCUGAUGGAGCCAUACUUACUGAGCUGAUUCAUAUUGCUGGGAGGAUCUGAUGAGAAUAAUGAAGAUUUCAGAGAUCAAAGUUUCCACUCUCUGUGGUUCUAAGAAUGUCUCAGUUUUGUCCAAGUCACAAACAACCCCUGGGCUUUAACUAUCUAACCAGAAACUAUAUGUCAUCCUCUGUUGGGGUUACUUUAAAUGAGCACCUGUAUGUCAAGUUUGAUGCAAGUGUGUAUAGUAUUGAGAGGAUGUCCUAGAAGCCCAAAGUAAAGCACUCCUUUCUCUCCUCAGCUAAAUGAAUGAUGUUCUAUCUUGCAGAUCCAUUUUCAAUCAAUGGAUAAGGGUGUUCAAUUCUCAGCAGAGCACUGAAGAAGUCUUUUGCAGACAAUAAUUAGCAGCAAUUCACAGAGAGAUGAGUCAUUUAUGCCUUUAAUGUUACAUGUACAAAACUGUGUAUUAGUGACGACUUAUGAGGGUGCUGAAGACA
rnacentral:lncRNA from 1 species